rnacentral:lncRNA from 1 species
AUGCCUAUGGGGAACCCAUGUAUCUCUAUGAGUUCCCAUGUAUCCCUGUGGUCCCCAUGUAUCCCUAUGGUUCCCCAUGUAUCCCUAUGGGUCCCCAUGUAUUCCUAUGAGUCCCCCAUGUAUCCCUAUGAGCCCCAUGUAUUNNNNNNNNNNNNNNNNNNNNNNNNNNNGGUCCCCAUGUAUCCCUAUGGUCCCCCAUGUAUCCCUAUGGGUCCCCAUGUAUCCCUAUGGGGAACCCAUGUAUCCCUAUGGGGAACCCAUGUAUCCCUAUGGUCCCCCAUUUAUCCCUACGGUUCCCCAUGUAUCCCUAUGUCUCUCCCCAUGAAUCCCUAUGGUUCUCCCCAUGUAUCCCUAUGUCUCUCCCCAUGUAUCCCUACGGUCCCCCAUGUAUCCCUAUGGGUUUCCAUGUAUCCCUAUGAGUCCCCAUGUAUCCCUAUGGUUCUCCCCAUGUAUCCCUAUGGGUCCCCAUGUAUCCCUAUGGUCCCCAUGUAUCCCUAUGGUCCCCCAUGUAUCCCUAUGGUUCUCCCCGUGUGUCCCCAUGGGUUCCCCAUGUAUCCCUAUGGGUCCCCCAUGUAUCCCUACGGUUCCCCAUGUAUCCCCAUGGGUUCCCCAUGUAUCCCUAUGGUUCACCACGUCCAGUCUUUCCCUGAACGCCCCCCGUGUCGGUGACUGCACCGCCUCCCUGUGCAGCCCAUCCCCGUGCCUGGCCGCCUUUCUGGAAAGCAGUACUUGCUUGUGUCCGUGUUGAGGGACGUUAAAGGGCGCUGCCCCUUUAAGAGGCGUGGUGAAAAGAACUGAGGGGGCGUGGCCCGCUUAAAGAGGCGGGGCCAAAGGGAUGAGAGACCAAAAGGGGGCGUGGCCAGAACAGAACAUGUGCCAGAAGGGGGCGUGGCCAAUGGGGUUGGGGGUGGUGAUGCAAAGGGGGCGUGGUCGAAAAGAAUGAAGACCAAAGCGGGGUGUGGACAAACAGGGGGCGUAGCCAAUAGGAUUGCGUGACCAAAAGGGGGGCGUGGCCAGAACAGAACGUGGCCAAAAGGGGGCUUGGAGCUAAAGGGGGCGUGGCCAAUAGUGGGCAUGGCCAAUGGGGUUGAGGUGGUGACGCAAAGGGGGCGUGGACAAAACGGAUGCGAGGCCAAGUGGGGGCGUGGCCAAAAUCACAUUGGCCAAUGGGGUGUGUGGUCAAAGGGGGCGUGGUCAAAAAGAAUGAAGCCGAAAGCGGGGUGUGGACAAACGGGGGGCGUAGCCAAUAGGGAUGCGAGGCCGAUAAGGGGGCGUGGCCAAAACAAACAUGGCCAAAGGGGCUCUAACCUAAAGGGGGCGUGGCCAACAGUGGGCUUGGCCAAUGGGGUUGGGGCGGUGCCGCAAAGGGGGCGUGGUCAAAAGGGAUGAAGCUGAAAGGGGGUGUGGACAGAGCGGGACGUAGCCAAUAGGGUUGCAUGACCAAAUGGGGGGCGUGG